GAGCUGCUGUAGCCCCUACGUGGUGAGUAGAUCGUCUCCACAGAAAUCAGCGGAGGCUUCCACAGUCCCUGGUUGGAAUGGAACCGGCGGUGAGGAUGAGAGGCGCUGAAGACCAGAAGACCCAGGGCGUGAACGGGGCGUGUCAUCCCUGGAGUUUCAGUAGAAUUUCAGGCCUGUCUGCUUGAGCAGCAGAGGAGGAGUUUCUGUGUGCCUGUGAGAGACUGUGUGUGUGUGUGUGUGUGUGUGUGUGUGUGAGAUGAAUGAACAGGGUUGUGUACGUGUGUGUGCGUUAGACAAAUGAACAGUGUUGUGUACCUGUGUGAAUUGUCACUGUGACUCCAGGCUCUAGGCUCUGCAGAUUCCUCAGCCCUAUCGCCUCACAGACACUUGGGAUGUGCAGCAGGUAAAAGAGAGAAGCCAGAUUCAUGGAGGCGUGAAGGAUCCCAGCAAGAAAACACAGACUUGAUCUUGAGACGAGAUUUUUGAAAUUGGUUGCGGCCUCAAGGCAGGCUCUGAGAAGACUCGAUAAAGAGUUCUCAGGAAUAGGCAUCCCUCCUGGAUAUUUCCCCCUUGGAAGCGCCGAGGAGCCAGCUCUAUGUUUGUAACCAUAGCAUUUCUAAAGCUCCAGCCCCAGGAACCUGCUGUGAAUUAGAGACAGAUUCCACCCUAGGCAUCACUGAUCUUGGCCUCUCUUGUAUUGGGAAGGUCAACACUGUUCCAGUUUCUCUCCUACUCCCAUCUGGUUGUGCUCGGUGAAGUAGGUGAGCAGUGCUACCCUUCUGUUAAAAAAAAAAAAAAAAAAAAGAUCCUGAAAGAGGAAAGAAUUUUUGCUACACAUCUGAAAGCUAAAGUCCAGUUGAACUCCAGAGGAGAACACAGCCCAGGUAACCCCUCGUUUGCAGCCUGUGAGACCAGCCUGAGGACAGCACCCAGCUAAACUCCAGGUCCAUGGAAACUGUGAGAUUUUAUAUAUUUAUGUUGUUUUAAGCUAAAUUCGUGGUAAUUGGUUAUGGUAGCAACUGAAAAUUAAUGCAGUAAGAAAGUCUAAGGAGAUCGGAAGAGACUAAAGAGAAAUAACAGCUAAAUGCAACGUAGAUUAAUGUGUGGGAUCCUGGAAAAGAAAAAGGACAUUAAUGGGAAAACAUAUUUGAAUAAGAUGUGCAAAUUUUUCGUAUUGUACCAAUGUUAAUUUCCUGGUUUUGAUAAUUAUCCUUUGGUUAUGUAAGAUAAACGCUAGAAUGAAGGGUAUAUGAGAACCCUCUGUACUACUCUUGCAACUUUUCUCUAAGUCUAAAAUAAGUGGAAAUUAAAAGUUAAAACAAAAAAAAAGGAAAAUUUUAUCUAUCCCAAGACCACAAAGUUAUUUUUCUGUUUCUUCCUCCAGAAUCUUUAUUGUUUGUUUUCACACUUAGACCUAUGAUCCAUCUUGAAUUUAUAUCUGUGUAUGUAGUGGGAUGAAGUUCAAAAUCAUUUUUUUCAUACAGAUAUCCAAGUGCACUGGCACCGUUUGUUAAAAACACUGGCCUUCUCUUAAGCUGCAGUCAGACUUUUACUGUAAAGCAUGGGCCCAUAUAUGUGCAGGAGUCUUUCUACUUUUCCGUUGGUCCUCUUUGUCAAUCUUUGUGCCAGCACCUCCAUUUUAAUUCCUGUAGCUUUAUAUUAUAUCUUGAUAAUCUGGUAAUAUAAGUUGAAGAACAACUUUGUUCUUCAAAAUCACUUUGUCUAUUCCAGGUUCUUUGCAUUGCUCUAUAAUUUUAGAAUGAGUUAAUUAAUUUUCUCAAAACAAACAAAACGCCCUGCUGACAUUUUGUUGGCAGUACAUUGAAUCAGUAGAUAAAUUUAGAGAGAAUUAUCUCAAAAUUGAGUCUUACAGUUCAUGAACAUGGAAUACAUUUCCAUUUAUUGAAUUCAUCUUUAAUUUCUUUCCUUAAGGUUUUGUUGUUUCCUGUCUAAAGGUCUUGCACAUCUGUUAAAUUUAUUCCUGUUUUACAUUUUUUAUGUUUUUACAAACUGUUAAGGUUUUAAAAAUUUUAUUUUUCAGUAGCUUUGCUUUAAUAUAAUUGUUUUAUACUUUUACCCUUUAUUCAGCAAUAAAUUAUUUAAUUUA
rnacentral:lncRNA from 1 species